rnacentral:rRNA from 1 species
UACGUAGGGCGCAAGCGUUGUCCGGAAUUAUUGGGCGUAAAGAGCUCGUAGGCGGCUUGUCACGUCGGGUGUGGAAGCCCGGGGCUUAACCCCGGGUCUGCAUUCGAUACGGGCUAGCUAGAGUGUGGUAGGGGAGAUCGGAAUUCCUGGUGUAGCGGUGGAAUGCGCAGAUAUCAGGAGGAACACCGGUGGCGAAGGCGGGUCUCUGGGCCGAUACUGACGCUGAGGAGCGAAAGCGUGGGGAGCGAACAGG